GUUGAGAAGAGAAUUGUCAAGAUGAAAAUCCAAUAGGGGCAGAAGAGCUGAGGUCAGUGUGGUCACUUAUAAGGCCUCAGCCAUCAGGUGGCCACACCCUUACUCUGGGAAUGGAAAUUGCCCUUCCUGAUUUCCCCAUUGGCUUUGACAGCAGGAACCUGAGGUCAGUGAUGCAUUCUGUCCUGGACUGAAGGUUAGAAGAGACACAAGGGAAUUUUUACCCUUACUGAGUAUAGAGAACUCAGCUUGGGGAACUUCCUCUUAUAAAUCACAAAGUCUGUCUUUUAGUGUCUAGGUUAAAAGUUCAAUCUAUUAGAGGUAUUCCUAGCUUGAUGUAUUUAUAUAUGGCUUGGCCUUAUCUGGAUUGUAAAAGCAACACUUGUCAAAUGUUAAUAAGGAUGGGGAUCUCCUGGUAUUUUGUUAAAAAUGCAGACUGAGAUUCAGUAGGUCUGGGUUGAGGUGGAAAUUCUAUAUUUCUAGCAGGCUCCCAGGUGAUGCUGUUGCUGCUUCCCUAGUUUGCUGGACCACGCCUGGAAUGAUUAGAGUGUGGUAGAGGACUUGUGGGAAAAGUCGGGACACACACUUUUGAGUAUGCCGAGGUGCUAGGGCUUAUGUGCCCCUACGGUGUCCCUUUUCUACCAGAACGUGUGAAUGGAGCGGAGAGCUCCUUGUGUGCAUGCGUGCUCACUCCUUCAGCUCCACCUUGGGUCUUACGGUAGGUGACAGGCCUGUCCACCUGUUGCUGAGAGACGUGGAAGUAGUGCCGGCCUGAGGCAGAGAAGGGAAGCGGCUCCUGUGGGAACCCGGAGAGGGCGUGGGGGCUUGGAUUGGGCAGCUCGAGGACGUGAACUUCCUGGGAUCGAAAAUUCAAGGAUUAGUGGACCCUCUCAGUUUGUAACGCUUGGGUUUAUCCUUAUGCAUUAUUAAAUGGUUACAUUUUAAAUGGUUAUAAAAGUAUUACACAAUAUCCUCGAUUUUGCUUGCGGGCUUGAAAAGUCUAAAAUAUGUACUAUCUGGCUCAUUGAAAAGAAUUUGCCAAUCCUUGUGUUAAAGGUUUUAACAUUAUUUUUUCCUAAGUCAUCAUAAAACACAGAUGUAGAAAAGUCAACCAAAUUAAAUGUAGGCUUAAUUGUUAGAGGGCAAACAUCUUUGUAUCCACCAUCCAGGUCUGGAAAAGAACCUUGCAACCACCCCAGGAGCUGUCCAUGGACUCUGCCCUGGCCCCAACCACCUCCUUCCUGGCAAAGGUGGCCACUGCCCUGACUUUUACAGUAAUCACAGCUUUGGGUGUCUUGAUGGUUUUAUCACCCAUACAUCUAUCUUAGAUGUUAUAGUCUUGUCUGCUCUUUUAAAAAGCUUAGUUGAUAUGACUUGCAAAUCUUUUAAUCUGUAGGUUCUGUCUUAAUCCCCUUCUUUUCCUUAAAGUGUAUCUAUUGCAGAGCCAGGCAGAGAGAAUGAGAGGAUUAGUACACUAGUAAAGAUUUUAAGUAUUCCGAAAGAUGGAAAAAUUCAGUACAAACUGGAGGAGUAGGCCAUAACCAGGAGCAGGGACGCUCCUUCCAUUAUAAUAAGAGAGGGAAAUCUGGGUACAGAUUAGCAGGUCAGUACAUGUAGGUCUGGGAAGGUGAGGGAGUUCUCAUCUUCUUGCAUGCAAUUCCUUAAUGAAUGACUAUGCAGUGAGAUGAAGAGAUGAAAUUGCUGUUUUGAUAAAGAGAAGGAGAUUUACUGGGAAGUAUAGUAAGAUUAACUGACAGUGUUGGCCUCUCCUUUAAGAUUUGAAGUCCUCUCUUUAAACCAAGACUGGUCAGCACAGUGGGAUUUUCACUAUCCAUGCUUAGGUGCUCAGAGCAGAUAGAUAAUGGGGCAUAAUUAGGUCUGGGGUUCUGCCACCUGAGUGAUGGAGGGAGGGGCAUGCAUGGGUAAGGGUGUUUGCAGAGAAAUGGGUCAAGUCCUGAACCUUGUUCAGUAUUUGAGUUCUAAAUGCUAUUCAUAUAGGCACCCAUCUCACUUACUAGCCUUACUUAGCAACAUGCCUCAAGUUUUAAAAUGCAGACUUUAAACAAAAAUGAAAUAUAUGAUAUGUGGCUACUCCCACCAUCUCCCCCUCCUUUGGAAGCUUUUUUACUUUAAGGCAGAAAAAAGAGACAAGAAAUAGUCACUACUUUAGCAAGAGAAAAAUUUCGUGACUUUUUAUCAGAAACAAUAGAGGUCAGAAGACAGUGGAAAGGCAUUUUUAAAGUGGUGGGGGAAAAAUCUGUUGACCCAGGAUUCCUUAUCUAGCAUAAAUAUCUUUCAAGAAUGAAGACAAAAUAAAAAUUUCAGAUAAAAACUAAGAGCUUAUUGCCAGCAGGCUGCACCAAAAGGAAAUAUUUCAGGCUGAAAGGAAAUGCUACUGCAUAGAAAGUUGAGUGUUAAGUGAAUGAAGAGCACAGGAAAUGAUAACUGUGAGUGAAUAUAAAAGGCUCUUUUUUUCCCUCAAUUUAUUUAAAACAUUGAACUGUUUAAAACAAAAGAAUUUUGUAAUUGUAUAUGUCUGUUUAUUACUCCUAUGCCUUAUGUAAUACAUCAUAAAGGAUGCGGGGGAUGGUAAGUGGAACUUUAUAGUUGCAAAAUUCUUAUAUUUUACAUGAAGUAGUAUAUUUACUCUAGGUAUCCUUAGAAAAGUUAAAGAUGUUUAUUUAUUGUAAUCCCUAGAACAGUGGUUUUCAAAGUGUGGUACAGACUUUGGGGGUUCCUAAAAUACAUUCAGGAAAUCUGUGAGUCCUCACUUUUCCAGUUAUAUAUCUAUAUGAGCUUGGCUUUUCUUCAUAAAUGCCAACCAGAAUAACACAUCACAACAGAUUGAAUGCAGAAGUAGAUAUGAGAACCCAUCUGUCUUUUAAGACAGAUGUUA